UUUAAAUGGCCGCAGUAUCCUAACUGUGCAAAGGUAGCAUAAUCAUUAGUCUUUUAAUUGAAGGCUGGUAUGAAUGGUUGGACGAGAUAUUAACUGUUUCAUAUAAAUUUAUAAUAGAAUUUUAUUUUUUAGUCAAAAAGCUAAAAUUUAUUUAAAAGACGAGAAGACCCUAUAAAUCUUUAUAUUUAAAUUAUUAUAUUUUUUUAGAUUUAUUUUAAUUUAAUAAUUAAUAAUAUUUUAUUGGGGUGAUAUUAAAAUUUAAUAAACUUUUAAUUAUUAAAAUAUCAUUAAUUAAUGAAUAAUUGAUCCGUUAUUAACGAUUAAAAAUUUAAGUUACUUUAGGGAUAACAGCGUAAUUUUUUUGGAGAGUUCAUAUCGAUAAAAAAGAUUGCGACCUCGAUGUUGGAUUAAGAAAUAUAUUUUGGUGUAGCUGCUAAAAUAAUAA
rnacentral:rRNA from 1 species